GCUGGUAGCAUACUGGUUAGUGCUGUUCCUUUUGGACGCAAAGAUUGUGGGUUCAAUUCCCACCUCCAGCU
rnacentral:tRNA from 1 species